AGCAGGGUAGAGCAGUUGGCAGCUCAAGGGGCUCAUAUCCCCUGUGUCGCCGGUUCGAGCCCGGCCCCUGCCA
rnacentral:tRNA from 1 species